GGUUGCUUCAGCAGCACCAUAAACUAAAAUUGGAACGACACAGAGAAGAUUAGCAUGGCCUCUGCUUAAGGAUGAUGUUCAAAUUCAUGAAGAACACUUAAUACAU
rfam:Canis lupus familiaris chromosome 13, whole genome shotgun sequence.